CAGCCGCCACGGGAAUCCGUAGGUGGCAAGCGUUGUCCGGAAUUAUUGGGCGUAAAGGGCUCGCAGGCGGUUUCUUAAGUCUGAUGUGAAAGCCCCCGGCUCAACCGGGGAGGGUCAUUGGAAACUGGGAAACUUGAGUGCAGAAGAGGAGAGUGGAAUUCCACGUGUAGCGGUGAAAUGCGUAGAGAUGUGGAGGAACACCAGUGGCGAAGGCGACUCUCUGGUCUGUAACUGACGCUGAGGAGCGAAAGCGUGGGGAGCGAACAGGAUUAGAUACCCCCGUAGUCCCUGUCUCUUAUAA
rnacentral:rRNA from 1 species